CGCCGGCGGCGUGCUUAACACAUGCAAGUCGAGCGAGGGGCUUCGGCUCCUAGCGGCGAACGGGUGAGUAACACGUGGGCAACCUGCCUCGAGCUCUGGAAUAACCUCGGGAAACCGGGGCUAAUGCAGGAUAUGACAUYACYGGGCAUCYGGUGGUGUGGAAAGAUUUAUCGGCUCGAGAUGGGCCCGCGGCCUAUCAGCUUGUUGGUGGGGUAAUGGCCUACCAAGGCGACGACGGGUAGCCGGCCUGAGAGGGCGACCGGCCACACUGGGACUGAGACACGGCCCAGACUCCUACGGGAGGCAGCAGUGGGGAAUAUUGCGCAAUGGGCGGAAGCCUGACGCAGCGACGCCGC
rnacentral:rRNA from 1 species